GACGAACGCUGGCGGCGUGCUUAACACAUGCAAGUCGAACGGAAAGGCCCUGCUUUUGUGGGGUGCUCGAGUGGCGAACGGGUGAGUAACACGUGAGUAACCUGCCCUUGACUUUGGGAUAACUUCAGGAAACUGGGGCUAAUACCGGAUAGGAGCUCCUGCUGCAUGGUGGGGGUUGGAAAGUUUCGGCGGUUGGGGCUGUACUCGCGGCUUAUCAGCUUGUUGGUGGGGUAGUGGCUUACCAAGGCUUUGACGGGUAGCCGGCCUGAGAGGGUGACCGGCGACAUUGGGACUGCGAUACGGCCCAGACUCCUACGGGAGACAGCAGUGGGGAAUAUUGCACAAUGGGCGGAAGCCUGAUGCAGCAACGCCGCGUGCGGGAUGACGGCCUUCGGGUUGUAAACCGCUUUCGCCUGUGACGAAGCGUGAGUGACGGUAAUGGGUAAAGAAGCACCGGCUAACUACGUG
rnacentral:rRNA from 1 species